rnacentral:rRNA from 1 species
GAUUAACGCUGGCGGCGUGCCUAACACAUGCAAGUCGAGCGGCAGCGAGUUUUACACUGAAUUCUGGAAGCUUCUAGUUUAAAGAUAAGAUUUAUUCAAGAAUUUUGUGUAAAAUGUCGGCGAGCGGCGGACGGCUGAGUAACUCGUGGGAACGUACCCCAAAGUGAUGGAUAACGCAUCGAAAGGUGUGCUAAUACCGCAUAUGGUCUUCGGAUUAAAGCCUUCGGGCGCUUUGGGUACGGCCUGCGUAAGAUUAGAUAGUUGGUGGGGUAAUGGCCUACCAAGUCGACGAGCGUUAACUGGUUUGAGAGGAUGAUCAGUCAGACUGGAACUGAGACACGGUCCAGACUCCUACGGGAGGCAGCAGUGAGGAAUCUUCAACAAUGGGCGAAAGCCUGAUGGAGCAACGCCGCGUGCAGGAUGAAGGCAUUCGGGUUGUAAACUGCUUUUAUAAGUGAGGAUUAUGACAGUAACUUAUGAAUAAGGAUCGGCUAACUACGUG